CGUCUUGUGAUUUUCUACUCUCCUCGCAUGUUUCGUCGAGCUUGGGAACUGGUGCUACUUCAAUACCCAAAGAGGGCAAAAUGUCUAAUGUGCAUUUUUUAGUCCCGCAUCUUUAGUUUCUCUAAAUUUUUACUGUUUUUAUAGAAUUGUCGCGAAGCAGGAGUUGUCUCUUCGGAGACAUCCGAUAAAAUUGGAACGAUACAGAGAAGAUUAGCAUGGCCCCUGCUCAAGGAUGACACGCAUAAAUCGAGAAAUGGAAUGGAACAACAUUGAAGUGCACGGUCUGUGACCCGGUUAAGUAGAAUACUUAUUGAGGUGAGGAUGCUGAUGCUUGCAAGAGUGACAGAGUAAAGAAGCUUGCUGCUUUUCAAACAAAAGCUAAUCUGCAUGCACUCUCAUAUUUGUUCUUGUCUGAAAGAUGGAGAUGAUGUGCUGGUAGAUGGUUGCAAUGUUGAGGUAAAGACCUUCAGAUUGAAUCAAAAAGUAUGGGCUGAUGCACUAAGCUCCCUGGACACACUUAAUCGAGUCAACAGAAUGUCAAUGCCAAUAACCAGGGAAGGGGUCUCUGAUGAAGGCCCUCUGAUGUUCAAGUUGAUAUAUUGUCCGAGCUGAAAGUAGAACCAACGAAGGGGUCCUCGUGGUGACAACUCGAGGCACAAGCGAUACAAAUGACAAUAAGUCAGAUUUGAAUCAGAUUCUAUAUUCUCCAUCCUCAUACCCAUCAGAGAUCGAAUAUCAAUUUUCAUAUCCAUAUCCAUUGGGGAUCGGAUAUUCAUCCUCAUAUUUUCUAAUUGUGCUUUAACUCCAUUACUCGAGCACACUAAGAAUCAUAUGAAUUAGUCUAUUAGACAAAGAGUUGUUUGUAUUGGAGAUGGAUCAUCUUAUUGAUUGAUGAUGGAACAUCACUAGUGAUACACUAUCAGAGCAUCCACAUUGGUACAUUAUUAGAAUGUAACCCAUAUAUUGGUGUUAAAACCACUGUGACAUGGUGUUAAUGCCAAUGUGACUUUGAACACAUUCAAAACAUUUGUUUAUAUAAAAAAAGUUGCCAUCGACAACUCUCAAGCCCUGCACAGGACCUGAAACAACAAGCCCUACACAGGCCCUGCGCAAGACUUGAAACAUCAUAUCUUUCGCCUCUAUUUUUUCUUCCAGUGGAAUAAAAAUAGCUAGUAGAUCUACAACGGCUAGUAGAUCUACAACGGCGGAUAAAUUCAUAUAACAGCUAGUUAAUGGCUAUUUUAAUAAAAAAAAAUAAUUAAAAUUUCAUCUAUAA